UCAAGCGCCGCGGACAGGGCGCUGCCGGCACGGCUCCGGCUGCGCCACCGCCCCGGCCAGUUCCCGCGCUGCGAGGCUGUCCUCCCUGGCGCCUUCGGGUGGGGCAGGUUCAGCCGGGUGCGCUAUGCCUUUAAGCCCGGGCGAGAUGAGAGCUGUCAGCAGCAGCCGAGCCUAGCGCGGGACAUCGCCACCCGCCAGGCCCGAGCGAGGAGCCGCGGAGCCAGCGGAGAGCGGAGGGGGCGGCGGGGCUGGGGCACGGCGGGUCCCCUUGCCGCCCACUGCGCGCUCAAACCCCGGGCCCCGCGAGCACAGGGCGGCAACGGGUGUAAAGCGGGGAAUGUGAGCGGCAGUGCAGGGCUGGAGCAGGAGGGGGAGCGGGAAAGGGCGGUGGCAAGACAGACGGAGAGGCAGCGGGAGAGACCGAGGAAGGGGUCGGGGGCAGGUGGGAGAAAGGAGAGGCGACAUAGGAGAGGUAGUGACAGAAAAGGGGGAAAGCUUUGAAGGAGUGAGAGAGCACGCGGCUGCGGGCGGCGGCGCAGGGAGGAGGGGGAGGAGGAGGGAGCGGGAGCCUUUGGGCAGGAGCGCCGGAAGCCGGGGUCCCGGCACCGCGGCCGCGGUUCGGGCUUGGAGCGCGACCACGGCCGGCGGGGCAUGGUGGAGGAGCGAGGACGCCCGCGGGGUCCCCUCUGGGAACGGCGGGGGACCUGAGGAGGAAUUGGCCCAGGAGAAGAUGCAGGGCCGCGCGGCUGGAGCUCGGACCGGCCGGGGUAGUGGGGGCCCUUUGUGAGCGCCCCAGGAGGGUGAGAGUCGGGAGUGCGGAGCCGGGUGUGCGGCGGCGGGGGUGUGUGCGCGCCCAGUGUGCGCGUGUGUGCGCGAGUGUGAGCGGCCAGGCGGGUGUGAGCGCGCGUUAGGGAUUCUGCUGGCAUCGCAGCGUGGAGAGCAGGAGGCAGGAGCCGGGCGCGCAGGGGAGCGCGGGACCCUCCCGCGCACACGCCGCGCGCUCUCUCACACACACGCAUACACACACACGCCCUUCCUGCUUCGCUCCUUGCUGCUGUCACCACCAUCUCCGAGCCGAGCCCUGCGGAGCGGGAACCCGAGUCGGAGCAGGGACCGGAACAGAACCGAGGCAGGGGAUGCGGGCCCAGAGCGGAGCCGCGCGCGCACCGCGCGCCCAGGACGCCUUCUGCACCCAAAGGCCCUGAGAUGAUGGUGCCCACGGGCAAAGAGGGCAACUGACCCUGGCCCCGCUGCGCUCACUGGACCCGCUCAGCCUGAGGUGUCCCGCUGAAGAGCCCCCGGAGCCCGGAGCCCUGCUGAGAGAGG